ACAACAGGUUCAUACAUGACCUGACAACACCAGAAUACUCAAAGAUUUUUCAACAAUCAAUUCAAACAUGACCAAACAACAUUGAAUAUUCUAAGAGUGCUCAAUUAACAAGUUCAAAUAUGACAUGGUAGCAUUAGGGAACAUACAAAGAAGGUUUGAACAACAGGUUUAGAAAUGACCUGAUGAUAGCUUGAAUAUCAAGGAAAGUUUAC
rnacentral:lncRNA from 1 species